UGGGGAAUUUUGGACAAUGGGCGCAAGCCUGAUCCAGCCAUGCCGCGUGCGGGAAGAAGGCCUUCGGGUUGUAAACCGCUUUUGUCAGGGAAGAAAUCUUCUGAGUUAAUACCUCGGGAGGAUGACGGUACCUGAAGAAUAAGCACCGGCUAACUACGUGCCAGCAGCCGCGGUAAUACGUAGGGUGCAAGCGUUAAUCGGAAUUACUGGGCGUAAAGCGUGCGCAGGCGGUUUUGUAAGACAGAGGUGAAAUCCCCGGGCUCAACCUGGGAACUGCCUUUGUGACUGCAAGGCUUGAGUGCGGCAGAGGGGGGCAUGGAAUUCCGCGUGUAGCAGUGAAAUGCGUAGAUAUGCGGAGGAACACCGAUGGCGAAGGCAAUCCCCUGGGCCUGCACUGACGCUCAUGCACGAAAGCGUGGGGAGCAAACAGGAUUAGAUACCCUGGUAGUCCACGCCCUAAACGAUGUCAACUGGUUGUUGGGAAGGUUCCUUCUCAGUAACGUAGCUAACGCGUGAAGUUGACCGCCUGGGGAGUACGGCCGCAAGGUUGAAACUUAAAUGAAUUGAC
rnacentral:rRNA from 1 species